UUAAAAAACCAAAUUACAAUUAUCUCAUCCGAUCUCACCUGAUCUUGGAAGCUAAGCAGGAUUCAGCCUGGUUAGUACUUGGAUGGGAGAAUUAUUUCAGCAAUAAAUCACUUUUAUAAG
rnacentral:rRNA from 1 species